UGGGGAAUUUUGGACAAUGGGCGAAAGCCUGAUCCAGCAAUGCCGCGUGUGUGAAGAAGGCCUUCGGGUUGUAAAGCACUUUUGUCCGGAAAGAAAUCCUUGGCUCUAAUACAGUCGGGGGAUGACGGUACCGGAAGAAUAAGCACCGGCUAACUACGUGCCAGCAGCCGCGGUAAUACGUAGGGUGCAAGCGUUAAUCGGAAUUACUGGGCGUAAAGCGUGCGCAGGCGGUUUGCUAAGACCGAUGUGAAAUCCCCGGGCUCAACCUGGGAACUGCAUUGGUGACUGGCAGGCUAGAGUAUGGCAGAGGGGGGUAGAAUUCCACGUGUAGCAGUGAAAUGCGUAGAGAUGUGGAGGAAUACCGAUGGCGAAGGCAGCCCCCUGGGCCAAUACUGACGCUCAUGCACGAAAGCGUGGGGAGCAAACAGGAUUAGAUACCCUGGUAGUCCACGCCCUAAAACGAUGUCAACUAGUUGUUGGGGGAUUCAUUUCCUUAGUAACGUAGCUAACGCGUGAAGUUGACCGCCU
rnacentral:rRNA from 1 species